AUUGAACGCUGGCGGCAUGCCUUACACAUGCAAGUCGAACGGUAACAGGGAGCUUGCUCCGCUGACGAGUGGCGAACGGGUGAGUAAUAUAUCGGAACGUACCCAAGAGUGGGGAUAACGUAGCGAAAGUUACGCUAAUACCGCAUACGAUCUACGGAUGAAAGCAGGGGACCGCAAGGCCUUGUGCUCCUGGAGCGGCCGAUAUCUGAUUAGCUAGUUGGUAGGGUAAAGGCCUACCAAGGCAUCGAUCAGUAGCUGGUCUGAGAGGACGACCAGCCACACUGGAACUGAGACACGGUCCAGACUCCUACGGGAGGCAGCAGUGGGGAAUUUUGGACAAUGGGCGCAAGCCUGAUCCAGCAAUGCCGCGUGAGUGAAGAAGGCC
rnacentral:rRNA from 1 species